rnacentral:rRNA from 1 species
GUAGGGAAUAUUGCACAAUGGAGGAAACUCUGAUGCAGCGACGCCGCGUGAGUGAUGAAGGCCUUCGGGUCGUAAAGCUCUGUCGCAGGGGAAUAACACAAUGAAGGUACCCUGUAAGAAAGGAUCGGCUAACUUCGUGCCAGCAGCCGCGGUAAGACGAGGGAUCCUAGCGUUGUUCGGAAUCAUUGGGCGUAAAGCGGAUGAAGGUGGCUAUGUAAGUCAGAUGUGAAAGCCUGGGGCACAACCCCAGAAGUGCAUUUGAUACUGCGUAGCUUGAGUGUCGGAGAGGUUACUAGAAUUGUUGGUGUAGUGGUGAAAUACGUAGAUAUCAACAGGAAUACCGGAGGCGAAGGCGGGUAACUGGCCGAACACUGACACUGAGAUCCGAAAGCGUGGGGAUCAAACAGGAUUAGAUACCCCGGUAGUCC